ACGCUGGCGGCGUGCCUAAUACAUGCAAGUCGAACGCUUUGUGGUUCAACUGAUUUGAAGAGCUUGCUCAGAUAUGACGAUGGACAUUGCAAAGAGUGGCGAACGGGUGAGUAACACGUGGGAAACCUACCUCUUAGCAGGGGAUAACAUUUGGAAACAGAUGCUAAUACCGUAUAACAAUGACAACCGCAUGGUUGUUAUUUAAAAGAUGGUUCUGCUAUCACUAAGAGAUGGUCCCGCGGUGCAUUAGCUAGUUGGUAAGGUAAUGGCUUACCAAGGCGAUGAUGCAUAGCCGAGUUGAGAGACUGAUCGGCCACAAUGGGACUGAGACACGGCCCAUACUCCUACGGGAGGCAGCAGUAGGGAAUCUUCCACAAUGGGCGAAAGCCUGAUGGAGCAACGCCGCGUGUGUGAUGAAGGGUUUCGGCUCGUAAAACACUGUUGUAAGAGAAGAAUGACAUUGAGAGUAACUGUUCAAUGUGUGACGGUAUCUUACCAGAAAGGAACGGCUAAAUACGUGCCAGCAGCCGCGGUAAUACGUAUGUUCCAAGCGUUAUCCGGAUUUAUUGGGCGUAAAGCGAGCGCAGACGGUUAUUUAAGUCUGAAGUGAAAGCCCUCAGCUCAACUGAGGAAUUGCUUUGGAAACUGGAUGACUUGAGUGCAGUAGAGGAAAGUGGAACUCCAUGUGUAGCGGUGAAAUGCGUAGAUAUAUGGAAGAACACCAGUGGCGAAGGCGGCUUUCUGGACUGUAACUGACGUUGAGGCUCGAAAGUGUGGGUAGCAAACAGGAUUAGAUACCCUGGUAGUCCACACCGUAAACGAUGAGUGCUAGGUGUUUGAGGGUUUCCGCCCUUAAGUGCCGCAGCUAACGCAUUAAGCACUCCGCCUGGGGAGUACGACCGCAAGGUUGAAACUCAAAGGAAUUGACGGGGACCCGCACAAGCGGUGGAGCAUGUGGUUUAAUUCGAAGCAACGCGAAGAACCUUACCAGGUCUUGACAUCCCUUGACAACUCCAGAGAUGGAGCGUUCCCUUCGGGGACAAGGUGACAGGUGGUGCAUGGUUGUCGUCAGCUCGUGUCGUGAGAUGUUGGGUUAAGUCCCGCAACGAGCGCAACCCUUAUUACUAGUUGCCAGCAUUCAGUUGGGCACUCUAGUGAGACUGCCGGUGACAAACCGGAGGAAGGUGGGGAUGACGUCAAAUCAUCAUGCCCCUUAUGACCUGGGCUACACACGUGCUACAAUGGCGUAUACAACGAGUUGCCAACCCGCGAGGGUGAGCUAAUCUCUUAAAGUACGUCUCAGUUCGGAUUGUAGGCUGCAACUCGCCUACAUGAAGUCGGAAUCGCUAGUAAUCGCGGAUCAGCACGCCGCGGUGAAUACGUUCCCGGGUCUUGUACACACCGCCCGUCACACCAUGAGAGUUUGUAACACCCAAAGCCGGUGGGGUAACCUUCGGGAGCCAGCCGUCUAAGGUGGGACAGAUGAUUAGGGUGAAGUCGUAACAAGGUAGCC
rnacentral:rRNA from 1 species